AACAUUUUCUUAGGGUUCUUUCACUUAUCUUACGGCAAACUUUUGAUCACAGAGAUUGAGAAACCGUAUUAGUUGAUUGAGAAACCCAUCUCUUCUGGUUCUUUCUCUGCAUUCCCGUGAAGGCUCUCCGCCUCCAAUUUUCAUACUCCGCGUCUUCAUGCCAAAAAAAGUUCAGUUAUUUAUACUACCAGCAAUCACCGCCAGUCCCUAUAAUCGACCGAAAAUCAUUGAUGUGAUCUCAAUUGAAUCGUCUGCAGAAAAAAAAGUUACAGAAAAUCAUCGAUGUGAUCUACCAGGAGAGGAUUUCCGAGAUUGGGGAUUUUGAUUUUUAUUAGGUGCCGUGAACUCAAUGUUUCUACUAAGGUGGUGUAAGUGUUGUUGAAGACGAAGACGUAUUUUUGGAGAUAAUCAGUGGAAAUACUGGUGCAAGAUUGUGUUUGAUGGUUUAGGUAUUGGAAAUAGCCGGAAUUACAGCAAUAGAUUUUGGAGGUGUUAAUGAUUUUUCCUAAUUGAUUCCGUUUUUAUUUAAUUGAAGAACUUUCCUUUUAAUAUUUUUUCUUAAAUUUCCAUUUUUGUGUAAUAUAAAAAACUGUAAUUGCAUGGGUUCCGUGAAUAAAAUUGGGGAAGAUGAAGUAUCAUCUUCUCUCUUACUAGUUA